rnacentral:rRNA from 1 species
GAUGAACGCUGGCGGCGUGCCUAAUACAUGCAAGUCGAGCGAACGGACGAUAAGCUUGCUUUUCUGAUGUUAGCGGCGGACGGGUGAGUAACACGUGGAUAACCUACCUAUAAGACUGGGAUAACUUCGGGAAACCGGAGCUAAUACCGGAUAAUAUUUUGAACCGCAUGGUUCAAAAGUGAAAGACGGUCUUGCUGUCACUUAUAGAUGGAUCCGCGCUGCAUUAGCUAGUUGGUAAGGUAACGGCUUACCAAGGCAACGAUGCAUAGCCGACCUGAGAGGGUGAUCGGCCACACUGGAACUGAGACACGGUCCAGACUCCUACGGGAGGCAGCAGUAGGGAAUCUUACGCAAUGGGCGAAAGCCUGACGGAGCAACGCCGCGUGAGUGAUGAAGGUCUUCGGAUCGUAAAACUCUGUUAUUAGGGAAGAACAUAUGUGUAAGUAACUGUGCACAUCUUGACGGUACCUAAUCAGAAAGCCACGGCUAACUACGUG